rnacentral:lncRNA from 1 species
UUUUUAAGAGCGAUGGUGAGAUUUUUUUAUAAUGCAUGCUCAUCUUGCCCUGACAUGUUCCUUACCUUUUUGAAACGUGGAUUCCCUGCCGGGUUUAGGGACUUUUUAUUAAAAACAAAACAAGGCUUUCCAAAUUAUUAAAGGCAGACACCCAAACUCAUAUUUUUUCCAAUCCUUCAAGCGUAUUCUUUAUAAAAAUGUUGCUAAUAUUAACAGUAUCACAUAGCGCAUUCCCCAGCCAGGCCAAUUGCUUUCCUAAGAUUUGCAAUGGAUUUGUGC